UGUGACAUACCACUUGUUGCCUCGGCGGAUCAGCCCGCUCCCGGUAAAACGGGACGGCCCGCCAGAGGACCCCUAAACUCUGUUUCUAUAUGUAACUUCUGAGUAAAACCAUAAAUAAAUCAAAACUUUCAACAACGGAUCUCUUGGUUCUGGCAUCGAUGAAGAACGCAGCAAAAUGCGAUAAGUAAUGUGAAUUGCAGAAUUCAGUGAAUCAUCGAAUCUUUGAACGCACAUUGCGCCCGCCAGUAUUCUGGCGGGCAUGCCUGUUCGAGCGUCAUUUCAACCCUCAAGCACAGCUUGGUGUUGGGACUCGCGUUAAUUCGCGUUCUCAAAUUGAUUGGCGGUCACGUCGAGCUUCCAUAGCGUAGUAGUAAAACCCUCGUUACUGGUAAUCGUCGCGGCCACGCCGUUAAACCCCAACUUCUGAAUGUUGACCUCGGAUCAGGUAGGAAUACCCGCUGAACU
rnacentral:rRNA from 1 species